AAUUGAUAUUCAUGUCAACACCGAAGUGCUGACUACUGGGCUGGUGAUACCCUCGGGGACGAAACGUUUCGUCCACCAGCAGUGGCAUCGACCCAGUGGUGUAAAUAGUUAUCAAAAGUACCAGGAUUAUAAUUUUAUACGCCAGACGCGCGUUUCGUCUACAUAAGACUCAUCAGUGACGCUCAGAUCAAAAUAGUUAAAAAGCCAAACAAAUACAAAGUUGAAGAGCAUUGAGGAC
rnacentral:lncRNA from 1 species